GACGAACCCUGGCGGCGUGCCUAAUACAUGCAAGUAGAACGCUGAAGAGAGGAGCUUGCUCUUCUUGGAAGAGUUGCGAACGGGUGAGUAACGCGUAGGUAACCUGCCUUGUAGCGGGGGAUAACUAUUGGAAACGAUAGCUAAUACCGCAUAACAAUGGGUGACCCAUGUCAUUCAUUUGAAAGGGGCAACUGCUCCACUGCAAGAUGGGCCUGCGUUGUAUUAGCUAGUAGGUGAGGUAACGGCUCACCUAGGCGACGAUACAUAGCCGACCUGAGAGGGUGAUCGGCCACACUGGGACUGAGACACGGCCCAGACUCCUACGGGAGGCAGCAGUAGGGAAUCUUCGGCAAUGGGGGCAACCCUGACCGAGCAACGCCGCGUGAGUGAAGAAGGUUUUCGGAUCGUAAAGCUCUGUUGUAAGUCAAGAACGAGUGUGAGAGUGGAAAGUUCACACUGUGACGGUAGCUUACCAGAAAGGGACGG
rnacentral:rRNA from 1 species